GAUCAAGAAGUUUGUGGGUGUAAAGUGGCAGCAGCAAGCACAGGAUCGAGUUAACUGGCGAAACAUGGGAGAGGCCUUUGUCCUGCAGUGGACGUAGUCAGGCUGAUGAUGAUAGUGCACAGCACCUCAACUGACGGCUUGAGGCUUUGAGCAUUUUUCUGUAAUCCAUAUCACUUGCUGUUGAAUUCCCAAGGAUUAAUAGGGUACAGUGUAGACCUACACAGACAUUUUUGUUUCUUCUUUUUAUUGGCUCUUUGAGGCAAAAAUGCACAUUUACUACACCGUACUUUUGUAACAGGUAUGUGUCAUAUCAUGAGUUCGGGUAGUUUUGAACGGCGUCUAAUUUUGUUUAAAAAAAUGGGGAGAACAUAGAGCUAAAAGGCUCUCAGAAAAAGAAGUUUCAAGGUUUAUCUCAUCAAAAUCAGAACCUACAAUUUGUAUAGGCUUCGUGAUAAACUGAGUUAGGCGAAAGUCUUAACAAGCUUUUAUAGUAAGGCAUGGGCUACCUUAUCACUAGCCAAGAUAGAUAAAGUGACAAAACUGAAGCCUGGAAGUUUAAAAUCGCCGAACGUUUAUAACUAACACUAAAUUUGGCGUAGGUGAGGAGGCGACAAAAUUUGUCAGUAGACCAUCAUAUAAGGUCAGGAGGAUUUUGCCCGGUCCUUUAGACCCACAUGUUUUUGUCCUGCCACUGUUGAGCUUCAGUUAUGAACUAAGUAGCCAAGAAGGGCAUCUCUUAAUCUGUCUAUGUUAUGAGAGAUUAAAAUGCAUGUGUCGUAUCAGUUUAGGUCAUCGUGCACAAUGAAUGCAUGGAUCCGAUGCAAGCAAAUCAACGCAAUACAGGCAUCACACAUGAAGCAAGCACUUCAGCUCCUUAGUCAGACAUAUGAUCGCAGCACUUCCAACCAUGCCCUGGUCACCUCAAUAGCGAGACGUGAAGACUUCGUAGAUCAUAAUAGGACAUUUAUACGCUUGUUCAACAAUCGAUGCACUUUCUUGCCGAGACGUACAAGGACACACAAAACUCCAGGCCCGUAAGCGAAAACGAUGCAACUGACUGCAUCGUUUCCUCCGCCACUGGGUAAGCAAUGCUGUUCACGCUAUUUAUUGAGGCUCUGAUGACAGAAAAACGCGCCGCAGUAGACGUGGUACCAGAACAGCGUCACUGGACGCAUAGAUUUCGCGAACGAAAGGCAAGCAUGCCCAUUAAUUUGACACCAGACCACCGAUUUCCUCUCUGUCUACAAAAGAAACACUCUGUCGACAGGCAAGGAUGCACAUUAAUUUGACGCCAGACCACCGAUUUCCUCUCGGUCUAUCAAAGAAACACUCUGUUGACGUUGCAAUGCAGAUUUAUCACACCCUGUUCGGCGAAUGCUGUUGACAUGGCACAUUGCGAUGUAGAACGUACACAUGUACUGUACAAUAUUGUGUGCGAUACUGUACGUAUGUGUACUGUAUGUGUACAA
rnacentral:lncRNA from 1 species